GACGAACGCUGGCGGCGUGCUUAACACAUGCAAGUCGAACGGUAAGGCCCUUCGGGGUACACGAGUGGCGAACGGGUGAGUAACACGUGGGUGAUCUGCCCUGCACUUCGGGAUAAGCCUGGGAAACUGGGUCUAAUACCGGAUAGGACCACUGCCUGCAUGGGUGGUGGUGGAAAGCUUUUGCGGGUGGGGCUGGGCCCGCGGCCUAUCAGCUUGUUGGUGGGGUGAUGGCCUACCAAGGCGACGCCGGGUAGCCGGCCUGAGAGGGUGACCGGGCACACUGGGACUGAGGUACAGCCCAGACGCCUACGGGAGGCAGCAGUGGGGAAUAUUGCACAAUGGGCGAAAGCCUGAUGCAGCGACGCCGCGUGAGGGAUGACGGCCUUCGGGUUGUAAACCUCUUUCAGCACCGACGAAGCGCAAGUGACGGUAGGUGCAGAAGAAGGACCGGCCAACUACGUGCCAGCAGCCGCUGUAA
rnacentral:rRNA from 1 species